rnacentral:rRNA from 1 species
AUUGAACGCUGGCGGCAUGCUUUACACAUGCAAGUCGAACGGUAACAGGCCUUCGGGUGCUGACGAGUGGCGAACGGGUGAGUAAUGCAUCGGAACGUGCCCAGAGGUGGGGGAUAACGCAGCGAAAGCUGUGCUAAUUCCGCAUGUGAUCUGAGGAUGAAAGCGGGGGACCAGGCAGCAAUGUUUGGCCUCGCGCCUUUGGAGCGGCCGAUGUCAGAUUAGGUAGUUGGUGGGGUAAAGGCCUACCAAGCCGACGAUCUGUAGCUGGUCUGAGAGGACGACCAGCCACACUGGGACUGAGACACGGCCCAGACUCCUACGGGAGGCAGCAGUGGGGAAUUUUGGACAAUGGGCGCAAGCCUGAUCCAGCAAUGCCGCGUGCGGGAAGAAGGCCUUCGGGUUGUAAACCGCUUUUGUACGGAACGAAAAGGCUCUGGCUAAUACCUGGGGCUGAUGACGGUACCGUAAGAAUAAGCACCGGCUAACUACGUG